CCUCGCGCCGUGGGACGGCGUCGCUCCCCGCCGGCUGCCGUUAGGGCUGGGAGCCGGCUGGGCGCGGGGGUAGUGAGGGUGCCUCUCGCCGUGGCUGCGCGGCGGCCUCGUCCGAGAGGCCGGCGCCGGGGCAGUGACCGGCCCGUGCCCAGCCGCCGCGCAGGGCGCCCGGGGCAGCUGGCCGAGCCCUCGAUGCCUCCCGUCUGACGGAGGCGCCCGGGAAGCGCCGCCCACCUCGGCCCCGCACCCUCGCCGGCCUGCCGGGUCUCCGCCAGCCCUAGCAGACAGAGAGGGGCGCCGGUCCCUAGUCCCCCAGACCUCCAUUCAAGGUCAAAACUUUGCCCAGCUCAGCCUUGCUCGACCCUGGGCAGGGAAGCGCGGACAUCGGCAGAGGGAGCCCGAGGCUCUCCGUGCCCUUCGCGCCGGUCAAGAACUGUGGAAUCUUUCAGAUGAUAUUCUGAUACUUCUGGACCAAGAUUGAAUUUGUUCUUCAUGAAAAAUGUCUGGGACCUUUUAUACAAGGUCUCACCCUGUUGCCCAGGCUGGAGCCCAGUGGCGCGAUCACAGCUCACUACGGCCUUGACUUGUGCUCAGGCGAUCCUCCCACCUCAGCCUCCUGAGUACCCGGGAUUACAGGCGUGUGCCACCACAUGCAGCUAAUGUAAAACAUUUUUAUUCUGUAGAGACAGGAUCUCACUAUGUUGCCCAGGCUAGUCAGACAAGUCUCGAACUCCUGGGCUCAGGCAGUCUUCUGCCUCAGCCUCCCAAAGUGCUGGGAUUACAGGUGUAAGCCAUGGCAUCUGACCCGAAGAUAAAUGUACUUGUCCUGUACUUUGUCAGAAUGUUCCUAAAUAGAAUAGGUAAAAGCCUGAGACCCCUUCUGAUUGAAAAGAUUAAAAAGUUAAGUCACCUUGUUCUGUUGCAUAUAUUAAAAAUUAAUUGUUGUAACAAUGGAAACAAUUGUGUUUCAUUAGGAGGUAUUUCUGUGAGCAUUAAUAGGGAAUGUUUUUCCUUUGCAUCAGAGCUUUUCCAGAAUGCAUUUCUCUUGUAAAUAGCUUGUAAUUUAUUUUUCAAGUUUUCAUACUUAACAGUGAAUAUGCUAUUGGGGUGAGAGAUGUGAUGGUAAACUUAUCAAUGACGGCCCAUUAAAAAGCAAACCAAAUUCUAGAGAAAGCUCAUUUAUUCAUACCUCAAAUAUUUGUCAUGUAACUAUGUGUCAGGCACUGUGCUGGGGAGUAAAGACUGAAUAAUCAAUAAGACACAAUCCUGAAGGGACUUAACACAG
rnacentral:lncRNA from 1 species